rnacentral:lncRNA from 1 species
CCUCAUGCUAGCCACUUUACAUUGUUGUUUUGCUGGUGGUGGUCUAAAGAUUUCAUUUUUAUAGGCCCUCAAAGCCUAGGAAAAACUUGCUGCGCCACCGAACUAAAGAAGGUGCUGAGAAAACCCACAAGAUGUGCAGUUGCUGCCUGGCUUGAUUGUCUUCAAAUGAAGACAGAUGAGCAGGAGAGUUUUAAAUGCAAGCUGCUUAUGUUCAGAAAAAUGGCUGCUAGAUUACA